ACACAACAUACUAAAACCAGCCAGCAUAGGGGUUAGUUCUGUGCUCUCCAUGCUUAUAUACAUUCAUUACUUUACACUGACUGGAGUUUCUUCUGCUUUCCAUUCAUUCCAUUCACACAGAACCGGGUCAUUAAUCCCCACAUCCUCCACAUGUUUGAACAACAUCUUUAAAAGACGCUGCUCGAUGUUCGACCCUCAGGUUCUCCUGUCACCUGUCUGGCCAGAAUGAUGGAAGAUGCCCACUGCCCAGUUUAUGCCAG
rnacentral:lncRNA from 1 species